GACGAACGCUGGCGGCGUGCUUAACACAUGCGAGUCGAACGAUGAAGCACCAGCUUGCUGGUGUGGAUUAGUGGCGAACGGGUGAGUAACACGUGAGUAACCUGCCCCUCACUCUGGGAUAAGCCUGGGAAACUGGGUCUAAUACUGGAUACGACCGAUCUCCGCAUGGAGUGUUGGUGGAAAGUUUUUGUGGUGGGGGAUGGACUCGCGGCCUAUCAGCUUGUUGGUGGGGUAAUGGCCUACCAAGGCGACGACGGGUAGCCGGCCUGAGAGGGCGACCGGCCACACUGGGACUGAGACACGGCCCAGACUCCUACGGGAGGCAGCAGUGGGGAAUAUUGCACAAUGGGCGAAAGCCUGAUGCAGCGACGCCGCGUGAGGGAUGACGGCCUUCGGGUUGUAAACCUCUUUCACCAGGGACGAAGCUAACGUGACGGUACCUGGAGAAGAAGCACCGGCUAACUACGUG
rnacentral:rRNA from 1 species